CCUACGGGAGGCUGCAGUCGAGAAUCAUUCACAAUGGGGGAAACCCUGAUGGUGCGACGCCGCGUGGGGGAAUGAAGGUCUUCGGAUUGUAAACCCCUGUCAUGUGGGAGCAAAUUAAAAAGAUAGUACCCCAAGAGGAAGAGACGGCUAACUCUGUGCCAGCAGCCGCGGUAAUACAGAGGUCUCAAGCGUUGUUCGGAAUCACUGGGCGUAAAGCGUGCGUAGGCUGUUUCGUAAGUCGUGUGUGAAAGGCGCGGGCUCAACCCGCGGACGGCACAUGAUACUGCGAGACUAGAGUAAUGGAGGGGGAACCGGAAUUCUCGGUGUAGCAGUGAAAUGCGUAGAUAUCGAGAGGAACACUCGUGGCGAAGGCGGGUUCCUGGACAUUAACUGACGCUGAGGCACGAAGGCCAGGGGAGCGAAAGGGAUUAGAUACCCUAGUAGUC
rnacentral:rRNA from 1 species